rnacentral:lncRNA from 1 species
GGAAAUAAAUGACUGGAUGGUCGCUGCUUUUUAAGUUUCAAAUUGACAUUCCAGACAAGCGGUGCCUGAGCCCGUGCCUGUCUUCAGAUCUUCACAGCACAGUUCCUGGGAAGGUGGAGCCACCAGCCUCUCCCUGACAAGCAAAGUGGAUCAGCAAAGGCUGCAGUCACCAGCAUCUUUUCCAACCUUAAUGAACUGUAUCCUCAAAAGAACACUAUCAGACUGGCUCUGCCGACUUCCAGUUCUGGAACAAGAUGGUUAAACUCAUUUUUCCCUGCUCUGCUCCUCUAAAUACAACUAAGUACCUUGGAAACUAUUCAGCAGACAAUGAUAAAGGGCUCUGAAAGCUAGAAGAAAAGGUGUACUUGCAAGAAACCUCAGGACUUGAGUAACAGCAACAUGAACAAUCCAUUUCACAGAUGAAGAAACAGACUCAGUGAGCACGUGAUCACUUCUCACAACUAAUGGAGCCAAGAUUCUGUCCUUAUGGCUCCAGAGACCUCUUUUUUUUCCCACUGUACCACAACACUCACCAGGACUGGAGUGCCACCUAUGACCUCAUUGCAUAAUGGAUGGCUUGUCCUCAAAUGGGCCCGGGUUCUUCUGAGCUAUGAAGGGGCCCAGAUUUAAGGGCUAUUUUUGACACCCUAAAUGUGCUGAGACAAGUCAUUAAGGUGGUCCUGCCAGGACACAGCCAUCUAAAGCAGCAAUCUGCUUCUUGCCAGAAAAUCUCGUGCCUCUGCAGAGCCUUUUCCAGAAUGAACCACACCAUGCUGAGGAAAGGAGAAAGAGACUACCUACUGCAUUUCUGUCACUCGCUGAAAAGGACACUCUGUCAGAAAAUCUUCUAGCAAACUUCAAAGGGCAAAAUCACCCCUUGUUACUGAUAAAGCCCAGAGAGCUUCAGCAGCUAACAUUCCCUGGACAGGGCACAGCAAGGAUUUGAACCUAGGUCAGUCUGGCCAGAACACCCACAAGCUUUCCUUAACUCAGUGUGCUAUCUCCCCACGACUAGGUCACUACUGCUUUAUAAUCACCUUUGUAGCCACCAGUGGAUUUUGCUCAUCAGUAUUUUUCAGGCAAUUGAUACUUUAGAUAUUCAGCUGCAAGACGUAUGCAGUUUUCAUUGACAUCUUUUGGAGAAACUGACAAACCUGGACUUGACUUAAUGCCUUUGGAACCUUCCAAGAUGUUAUAUAACUCUAGAUAGAAGGCUGGGCCUCCAUGAUGUCAGGAAUGUUGCAUUCUUAUUUCCCCAUAGAUAAACCCAUUUGUCCACAAAGUCAAGGAGUCAGGCAGAGGCCCUUGCCAUGGGGCUUUUUAGGAUAAAGCAACAAGCCUGGACUUUGCUCUACAACAGGGUUUUGCAUAGGGAGUGGUAUGACCAGAUCCCUCAAGAAAGAAAGCUUAGAGACCAGGCCAGAGUCCACUGCAGUAGCCCAGUCAAGAGAGGAUGGUGACUUGGACUUGUAGUAGAGCCAGUUAGAAUGAAAGAAAUUGACACAUUCAGAAAUGGUUUUAGAGAUAGAGUCAAACUGGACCUGAUAAAGAACUAGAGAAGCGGAGUGAGGAUAAAGAGAAGAGCCAUGACUGACUCGGAAGAUUUUGUCUUGAAAAACUUGAGAACUCAAGACAGAGUGAAAUAAAAUCACAUGUGGGAAAAAUCUCCUGCUUUGUUUUGGACUACUUUGAAGUGAAAUGCCUGUUAAGCCUAAGUGGGGUAGGUCAUGGCGUACAUGACUGUGGGCUCAGGAUGGAUACAGGCAUUCAG